rnacentral:lncRNA from 1 species
GGGAGAGAAGACACUGGAUGGGAUCUGUAAAGGAGCUUCGAGGAAUUGGGCCAACAUGGCAAAGAUAACUCUAAACUGACCCCUGGAGUGAGCCCAGAAAUUUACCAGAGAAUAGUUUCCUACCAGCUUUGAUGUCUUCAUUCGCACUGGACAUGAGGACCUUGGAGCUCCACCCUGCCCUCAGCAGGAGCAGCUGAAGGACUAAGAAGGAUCUAGGUGACAAUAAUAGUUUCAACAUGGUGCUUGCUCUUCUUUCUCUGGGUGUAGUCUGUGUCAGAACCCUGAACCACUCUCCCACAAGCCCUCCCCACCCAUACAUUUCCUUUUGUCGUAGCUUCCGGUGGAAAGAACCUUAGAAACCAC